rnacentral:rRNA from 1 species
GGGUGCGAGCGUUGUGCGGAAUUAUUGGGCGUAAAGAGCUCGUAGGCGGUGUGUCGCGUCGGCCGUGAAAACCUGCAGCUUAACUGUGGGCGUGCGGUCGAUACGGGCAUCACUGGAGUUCGGCAGGGGAGACUGGAAUUCCUGGUGUAGCGGUGAAAUGCGUAGAUAUCUGGAGGAACACCGGUGGCGAAGGCGGCAUUCUGGACCAAUACUGACGCUGAGGAGCGAAAGCCAGGGGAGCAAACGGG